CAACUAUCUCAUUCUUUUCAGGCGGCAACUCGGAGCUGUGAGGACAUGUAUUCGAUUAACUGCUGCUCGCUUUACCAGCUUUCUUCGACGGACAGUGCGGUAAGAGGCAGAAGAAAACCAAGAACAAACAUAUCGCCUCUUCUUUUUAUUAUCCAUUGCAGUUGUUAUACGAACAAGUGGCUGUCGGUUGAAUUUUACACACAUCCGCGAUCACUUGUUGUAUGAAGGCAAACGCGUGGAACUUUCGUCUGGUUUUAAAUUUUAAAAUGAAGAAAGAAACGAAUGGAAUUGCAUACAGGACACAGUCAAGAAAUUUGGGUACAUUACGUAUGUAUAUCUGUACAGAUCCACUCGUAAAGGUUCACAAUGUUUAAUUCUUACCACUCCUAAAUUUAUCUAUGUAUUAUAAACACUUAGCUAACAUCUCAAACUCAUUUCAACAAUAAACUAGGGGCGACUCUGAUGAAGAAAGAGCAAAGAAAAUGGCGAUAAUCUUCAUUAUUUCAUAUUGUAUUCUUUACUUUUUUCUCUCUCACACACACGCAUCUAUAUAUGCAUGUAUGCAUAUACAUAUAUACAAUCGUACACAUCUGAUUUAAACGUCCGAUGAGACCUGAUCAUUUAAUGUGGGUCUUGUUUUAUAAAACUAUCGACAUUUAUAAUAGCUUUACUGAAACUUAUUUCCAGAAAUUUAUCAUAAUUUGCAUAUUUUUAGAUAAGUCGAAAUUCCUCGUCGCCUUUUUUUUUUUUUAACAUUUGGUAUUUUCGGUCUAAAGAUUAAUAAUUUAUGUUUUCAGAUAGAAAAUUAGUUCGAUUUAUUCGUCCGUACUUAUAUUUAUUGUAUAACAUUGAGAGAGACGAAGAUUUGCAGUGAUCAAGCUACCAUCGUCAGAAAGGAGGAAGACAUCACAAAUAUGGCGCUAUGACCUUCAUUUGUCAUUGACUUCUUCCGUCGUAAGAUUUCUAAUUUUAAUCACUGCUUUAUUAUUCAUAAAUAGUAUAUACUUAAUUAUAUAGCAUUUUGCUAAUUAAUUUUUUUAGAGGCUUUUUAAAAAAGUUUUUAGCGUUUCUUUAAUUUUUGCAAUUUUUCGAUAGAGAAAAAAUGUAAUUUUUUGUACAAAAAAUAUAUUUUUUUUAUCGAUUUCAUAGAUAUAUAAUUAUAUAUAAAAAAAUUAAAUCAUGAAGCCAUACAUCUCGUAUAUAUCAUUACUAUAUUAUUUAAAGCGAAAAAGGUCCAAAAUUAGUUCUAAAUCUAUUAAUGAAUUCCUUAUCCUGCUGGUGGGAAAGGCAUGAACAUCACAGCAUCACAUUUUACAUGCGUUAUUAGUAAAUGUUGGGUUAUUGAUAGUUCUCAUGAAAUUAUAUAACAAUACAGUAUUUUCUCUAAUUGUAAAUAGACGUUUUAAUUUAAAAAUUGCGCAUGUGUGUGUGUAUUAUGUACAUAUAAGCAUAUAUUUCUGUAUAUCGGUGUAUAUAUGUGUACGUAUGUUUAUUUGGUUAAAUAGGUGUGUUUAUAUCUUGUUGGUAUUAACUCGUUAAUUAUUGUAUUAGUCUACUGUUAUAUAUGUAUGAAUGUGUUGGUAUUUAGGCAUAUAUAAGUAUCUAUUUGUAAUAUUUCAAUGAACGGUCGUAGUUUUGAAAUCGCGAUCGUGGAAUCGGGCGUUCGAUUCCUGAGCAAAGCGUUGUCCUUGAUCAAAACUCUUUAUUUCUUGUGGAUCCUAUCUUGGUCACUUCAGAAAGAGUAUCUGUCAGGUUAACUUACAGCUGGAAUGAAGGACUGGCGUCCUGUUCAUGGCGAAAUGGUGUUCUUAAUUCGCUUGGCGCAUCAGAAACUGCCCCAAUGAAUCCGGGUUCGAAACGAUUGUGUUAGUAUGGAAUUGAGUGUGCUCGUAAAUUCAAGUAUAUGUAUGUAUAUAUAUAUAUUUCGAUCCGUCGCUUCGUUCCAUUUCUUAUGCUCCCAGUACUGUUUUAUAUAUAUUACAUAUAUAUAUAUACAUACAUAUUGAUGUAUUUGUGGAUAUAAUGUGAUAUGUGUGCAUCUGGAUGUGUUCGCUUGUGAAUGCUAAUGUACCUGUAUAUAUGUGCGUGUCUAUGUAUAUGUGUAUAUACAUGUGUGUGCCUUUGUUGCGCUCCAAAAGUUUGUAAUUUAAAACUAUAAAUGUAGCAUUUUACACCAAUAUACAUCACUGAUAACAAAUAGUGAUAUUGAGGUAAAUGCUGACAGAAUAAGAUUAGAAAAUAGGAGUAAAACCAGUGUGUGUGUAUCUAUGUAUAUAUAUAUAUAUAUAUAUAUAUAUAUAUAUAUAUACAUACAUACAUACACACACACUGGUUUUACCCAUAUAUAUAUAUAUGUAUAUAUAUAUAUAUAUAUAUACAUUUAUAUAUAUCUGGUUAGAUAUGUGUUAAUUGAUCAUUUCCGAGCUUUCCAGAGAAUAUGAAAAAAUUGUUAAUAUUUAUAUUUGUGUGUGUGUAUACUUGUAAGCAUCUAGUCAUAAAAACGAUGCCAAAAUAAGUCUGGUGCAGCCUCCUGCCUGGCCAGCAUAUUUCAAAACCGUCCAACCCAUGCCAGCAUGGAAGGCGAACAGUAAACAAUGAUGAAAGCUAGUGUUUAUGUGAGUUGUGAGAUACCGAUGUAAUUAUAAUUUUAUAUAUGCGACUAUGUGUGUGUGUGUGUGUAUAUAUAUA
rnacentral:lncRNA from 1 species